GACGAACGCUGGCGGCGUGGAUUAGGCAUGCAAGUCGAACGGUAUCAUCCUUUCGGGGGUGAGAGAGUGGCGAACUGGUGAGUAACACGUAGGUUAUCUACCCUCAAGACGGGGGACAACCCAGGGAAACUUGGGCUAAAUACCGGAUGUGAGCAACUUUUAGUUGUUUGAAAGGUGGCGUAAGCUGUCGCUUGGGGAUGAGCCUGCGUCCUAUUAGUUAGUUGGUGAGGUAACGGCUCACCUAGGCAAUGAUAGGUAGGCGGCCUUAACGGGUGGUCGCCCACACUGGGAUUGAGAUACGGCCCAGACUCCUACGGGAGGCAGCAGGUCGAGAAUAGUCUACAAUGGUCGGAAGACUGAUAGUGCGACGCCGCGUGAACGAUGAAUCCCUUCGGGGUGUAAAGUUCUUUUAUAUGUGAGCAGUGCUUCUUAUAUUAACAGUAUGGGGAGAGAGAUAUUAGCAUAUGAAUAAGCAACGGCUAACUCCGUGCCAGCAGCCGCGGUAAG
rnacentral:rRNA from 1 species